UACAGAGGCCUCGAGCGUUAGGCGGAAUCACUGGGCUUAAAGCGUGUGUAGGCGGACUUCUAAGUACCUUGUGAAAUCCCACGGCUCACCCGUGGAACUGCUCGGUAUACUGGUCGUCUUGAGCCUUCUAGGGGCGAGUGGAACAAAUGAUGGAGCGGUGAAAUGCGUAGAUAUCAGGAGGAACACCGGUGGCGAAGGCGGGUCUCUGGGCCGAUACUGACGCUGAGGAGCGAAAGCGUGGGGAGCGAACAGG
rnacentral:rRNA from 1 species